UGAACUCGUCUGAUGUCGUUUCGCAUUGACCCGUCAACAUAAGGAGUUUUCUUUAGAAACUCAUUCACAACCAAAUGCGGGUGGGAAAUUCGGUGGUACGCUCCAUCCUUUACAGAUUUGCUCCUGAGAGCUUCUUCCUUAGCGUGAAAGCGCAUGGGCGGCGUUACAAGAAAUAUACACGGAGUUUUAAGGCUGUAGAAGGUCUGCUUCGUAUGGGAAUGGCGCCGUGGAUGGUUGGCUGUGAGUAAUUCUUUACUACAAGCUGUUUAGUGCAAUAUGCGAACUUGAAGUCACCUUCAAGCACCCGAUACCGAUCACCGACUUGAGACAGGUUUUA
rnacentral:RNase_P_RNA from 2 species